GAUGAACGCUGGCGGCGUGCCUAAUACAUGCAAGUCGAGCGAACGGACGAGAAGCUUGCUUCUCUGAUGUUAGCGGCGGACGGGUGAGUAACACGUGGAUAACCUACCUAUAAGACUGGGAUAACUUCGGGAAACCGGAGCUAAUACCGGAUAAUAUUUUGAACCGCAUGGUUCAAAAGUGAAAGACGGUCUUGCUGUCACUUAUAGAUGGAUCCGCGCUGCAUUAGCUAGUUGGUAAGGUAACGGCUUACCAAGGCAACGAUGCAUAGCCGACCUGAGAGGGUGAUCAGCCACACUGGAACUGAGACAAGGUCCAGAAUCCUACGGGAGGCAGCAGUAGGGAAUCUUCCGCAAUGGGCGAAAGCCUGACGGAGCAACGCCGCGUGAGUGAUGAAGGUCUUCGGAUCGUAAAACUCUGUUAUUAGGGAAGAACAAAUGUGUAAGUAACUAUGCACAUCUUGACGGUACCUAAUCAGAAAGCCACGGCUAACUACGUG
rnacentral:rRNA from 1 species